UCGCAAUCCGCCAGUCGGUCUAGCCGUGUCGCGGAAGGUUUGUAACCCACUACAGCGCUGGAAACCAGUGCGAAAGGUGAGCG
rfam:Rhizobacter sp. Root29 contig_7, whole genome shotgun sequence.